rnacentral:rRNA from 1 species
GUGUCAGCAGCCGCGGUAAUACGGAGGGUGCAAGCGUUAAUCGGAAUUACUGGGCGUAAAGCGCACGCAGGCGGUUGAUUGAGUCAGAUGUGAAAUCCCCGGGCUUAACCCGGGAAUUGCAUCUGAUACUGGUCAGCUAGAGUCUUGUAGAGGGGGGUAGAAUUCCAUGUGUAGCGGUGAAAUGCGUAGAGAUGUGGAGGAAUACCGGUGGCGAAGGCGGCCCCCUGGACAAAGACUGACGCUCGGGUGCGAAAGCGUGGGGAGCAAACAGGAUUAGAUACCCCCGUAGUCC